rnacentral:rRNA from 1 species
CCUACGGGAGGCAGCAGUGGGGAAUUUUGGACAAUGGGCGAAAGCCUGAUCCAGCAACUCUGCGUGAGGGACGAAGGCCUUCGGGUCGUAAACCUCUUUUACAUGGGAAGAAUGGCAGCAAUGCCUCGACGGUACCAUGUGAAUAAGCCACGGCUAACUAUGUGCCAGCAGCCGCGGUAA